UGAGGUUUACUUGCUGGUGGGAUCGCACCUGAAGGUGGAUGAAAUUCAGCUCUGAAGCAGGGGGAGGUCUGGCAAUGGACCUGGCGCGGCUGUUGGUGGUGGACGGAUUGCCGGAAGGUUUGCAUUCAGUGCCUGGUUGAUGCCGCAAGGCUACAAGACUGGCCGAGGGGAUGCAAACGGGUUUGGAAGCCUAGUUUGUUUAUUAACAGGCGGACAAACCGAGGAGGGAAGCUGCCCCUUUGGCGGCGGGGACAUCCAAUGCCGGCGAAGUUUUCCCCAAGACCAGACGGUGGCGGCAAGCUGGUAAGCGGAAGGAGGCAAUCGCCUGGUGUUGGGAUGCUGUGGAGCAAGAAGGCAAGGGGUCUGCGUUGACGCUGUCGGAUGGUGGCCACCCCACUCAUCUGUUUGCCUUUGCCUUUCAGGGAUAGCCGGAGAUGGCGAGGUUUCCCCCGAGACCAGCCGUGAAAGUCAUGAAGAGAACCACAGGACUUAAGCCAGACAGCUCCUGUUUUCUAAAUAAAUGGCUUUCUAAUUUUUAUUCAAAAUGAACGUUUUCUGAAAAGAAA